rnacentral:tRNA from 1 species
CAGAAAGUAGUUUAUUUUAAAAUAUUAAUUUUGGAGAUUAAUGAAAAAAAAAUUUUUUUUUUCUGA